rnacentral:misc_RNA from 1 species
AAAGUCGUAACAAGGUUUCCGUAGGUGAACCUGCGGAAGGAUCAUUACCAAAUCCAAACAACAACCACUGUGAACUGUAUCCAUGUCCUUAGGGAAAGCAUUUGUGGUCGAGUAUUCGGCCUCAUCUCGCUUUCCCUGUUGAACACCCUUUAAACUUUGCUGGAUUGUUUUUCAAACGAUUAACAAAGACAACUUUUAACGGUGGAUCUCUUGGCUCGU